GAUGAAGAACGUAGCGAAAUGCGAUAAGUAAUGUGAAUUGCAGAAUUCCGUGAAUCAUCGAAUCUUUGAACGCACAUUGCGCCCCCUGGUAUUCCGGGGGGCAUGCCUGUCCGAGCGUCAUUGCAACCUUCAAGCGCGGCUUGUGUGUUGGGUCUCGUCCCCCGUGGACGGGCCCGAAAGGCAGUGGCGGCGUCCCGACAUGGUGCCCGAGCGUAUGGGAAUCCUCUUCCGCUCGAAUCGGCCCAUGCGGCGCUGGUCGUAACCAAAUUUUUUACCGGUUGACCUCGGAUCAGGUAGGGAUACCCGCUGAACUUAAGCAUAUCAAUAACGGAGGA
rnacentral:misc_RNA from 1 species